rnacentral:rRNA from 1 species
CGGAGGGUGCAAGCGUUAUCCGGAUUCACUGGGUUUAAAGGGUGCGUAGGUGGGUUGGUAAGUCAGUGGUGAAAUCUCCAGGCUUAACUUGGAAACUGCCAUUGAUACUAUCAAUCUUGAAUACCGUGGAGAUGAGCGGAAUAUGUCAUGUAGCGGUGAAAUGCUUAGAUAUGACAUAGAACACCAAUUGCGAAGGCAGCUCGUUACACGAAUAUUGACACUGAUGCACGAAAGCGUGGGGAUCAAACAGGAUUAGAUACCCUGGUAGUCCACGCCCUAAACGAUGGAUACUCGACAUUUGCGAUAAACUGCAAGUGUCUGAGCGAAAGCAUUAAGUAUCCCACCUGGGAAGUACGACCGCAAGGUUG